CCGCCCUGCCCUCCUGGUUCAGUUCCAUGGAGAAGGGGACAAGAGGCAUCGGCCACCCCAUGGGACUCAUGGGCCUCUGCUUCUAGGCUGGUCACCUGGAGUCAAGGCGGAGGCUUUGGCUACCUGCCGAGGACACACAGCUGGGGAUGGCCUAGUUCUCUGACCUCUGCUCAGCCUCUGCCCUGGGGCAGAGCUGCCCGUCAAUGGCAGUAGAACCAGUGAAACCCACCUUUCCAAAGGCCUGAGCCCUCAGGGCCUGGAUCAUUAGGUGCAGCUGGAGAAGGGAUCCGAUCCAGCUUCCCUGCCCAGAAUUCCAACCUCAUCCUCACAGCAGCCCCAAAUGUUCCCAAGAGGGACAAAGCCAGCCUGUCUCCCGCCCGAGGGAUGCUCAGGAUGCAGAGUGAGGCUGCAGCUGUGGAGUCAAUGGGAGACCAGCUGUGUGACCAGAGGAGAAGCACACAGCCUCUCUGAGCCUCAGGUUGCUCACAGGCAGAGUUGAGAGAGGGUGAGGAAACAAACUUGCUCUGCUGAUCCACCUGAAGUUUCCCAGACAGGCAUUUCUGGCCUCCUGCCCUCCUCACUGAGGGAGAAUCUCCGCGGUCCACCUGGCCCUUCCCUCCGUCCUUGGCACAUGAGGACACAGAUCCGGAAGCAGCCCAGGGCCCAGGCAGCCCUGCUGAGGUCCCGCUCCUCGGAGCUUCGGCCGGGCCCAGUCCUGCUGCCCCCGGCUCAUCCUUACCCUGCCCCGGGAAGGUUCUGGGCUGGGGAGUCACCAGCAGGUCCUGGGAUAUCCAGGCCAUCCCUGGCCCAGCCCUCCUGAGACCCGACCUCCGUGGGAGGGAAGACCGACCCCUGGUCCUGGUCCACCGGGGGCUGGGCUUCCCAGUGUCCAGGGUCUCAGUCCCCUCCCGGCAGCACCUGAGAGGAACCACCCUCCAGGGGACAGAGGUGGGCCGGGCGCUCUGACCUCAGGGGCCAGGUCAGGGGCAGCCAGGGACAUCCCUGUUUCCUCCUGUCCAGAGCCUUAACUCCAGGUCUGGGGGACAGGGGAGUCAGGAAUGGCCGACUGGGUUCAAGCCACGUCACCUUCCUGCUCUGAACCUGGGAUGCAAGUUGAACCUGCAAGGCCAUUGAUUCUGCCUCCAAGACCUCUAGAGUCCCUCCUCCUCCCUCCGCUGACCGGCCUGGCCUUGGUCUCCCCAACCUGCACCAAGCCACCGCCUCCCUGCACCUGCGGCUUCAGGCCCCUGCAGGCCGUUCUCCACCCGGCCACCAGGGGGAGCACGUCUCAGAAAAUCCAACCUCCCCAUUUCCCUGCAGAAAACCAGUGACCUGCAGGUGACUGUUCAGCAUCGGGCUGUCCAGGGGGAAAGCUGUUCUUGUGGCCCUGGCCAGUUUCCAUGGGGGGAAUUCUCCCACUGUGGUUGGCUUCGGCUCCUAACAGUUUAACAACAAAGGUGCCUGGAGGAGCAGCCCGCGUGUCACUGGGUCUGGUGGCCACUGCGUUAAAUCACCAAUGAAGUCAAAUUCCCGCUGUUGGGGCCCCGCCGUGGCCA